rnacentral:rRNA from 1 species
GACGAACGCUGGCGGCGUGCUUAACACAUGCAAGUCGAACGUGAUUUUUGUGGAAAUUCUUUCGGGAAUGGAAAUGAAAUGAAAGUGGCGAACGGGUGAGUAACACGUGAGCAACCUACCUUACACAGGGGGAUAGCCGUUGGAAACGACGAUUAAUACCGCAUGAGACCACAGAAUCGCAUGAUAUAGGGGUCAAAGAUUUAUCGGUGUAAGAAGGGCUCGCGUCUGAUUAGCUAGUUGGAAGGGUAAAGGCCUACCAAGGCGACGAUCAGUAGCCGGUCUGUGAGGAUGAACGGCCACAUUGGAACUGAGACACGGUCCAAACUCCUGCGGGAGGCAGCAGUGGGGAAUAUUGCACAAUGGGGGGGACCCUGAUGCAGCGACGCCGCGUGAGCGAAGAAGGUUUUCGAAUCGUAAAGCUCUGUCCUAUGAGAAGAUAAUGACGGUAUCAUAGGAGGAAGCCCCGGCUAAAUACGUG